rnacentral:rRNA from 1 species
UACGAAGGGGGCUAGCGUUGCUCGGAAUCACUGGGCGUAAAGCGCACGUAGGCGGCUCUUUAAGUCAGAGGUGGAAUCCUGGGGCUCAACCCCAGAACUGCCUUUGAUACUGAGGAGCUUGAGUCCGGGAGAGGUGAGUGGAACUGCGAGUGUAGAGGUGAAAUUCGUAGAUAUUCGCAAGAACACCAGUGGCGAAGGCGGCUCACUGGCCCGGUACUGACGCUGAGGUGCGAAAGCGUGGGGAGCAAACAGG